rnacentral:rRNA from 1 species
UACGAAGGGGGCUAGCGUUGUUCGGAAUCACUGGGCGUAAAGCGCACGUAGGCGGACUUUCAAGUCAGGGGUGAAAUCCCGGGGCUCAACCUCGGAACUGCCUUUGAUACUGUUGGUCUCGAGUCCGGAAGAGGUGGGUGGAAUUCCUAGUGUAGAGGUGAAAUUCGUAGAUAUUAGGAAGAACACCGGUGGCGAAGGCGGCCCACUGGUCCGGUACUGACGCUGAGGUGCGAAAGCGUGGGGAGCAAAC